AACCCAGCAUGGACAUCUCCCCUGACGGACAAGAUGCUCUUCCUGGGAUGGAGGGCCAGGGCCACUAUGAGGAGGACAACUUUGACUUUGAGACCUCAGGGGCAAACAACAACAUGGAUAAUGGAGGCUCCCAGAACCUCACCAAGCUCACCACGGCCAACAUGGACGACAUGGACAACUAUUACAACUUUGGGAAGGAUACAGCUAACUACAACACGUCUUGAGCAGCAGGAGAAUAGUGUUAAUGGACUACAGACCAUUAGACACCAUGGAUUAAUGGAGAAGAGACCAUGGGUUAAUGGUGGACUAACUGCAGACCAUGGGUUAUUGGUGGACUAACUACAGACCAUGGGUUAUUGGUGGACUAACUACAGACCAUGGGUUAUUGGUGGACUAACUACAGACCAUGGGUUAUUGGUGGACUAACUACAGACCAUGGGUUAUUGGUGGACUAACUACAGACCAUAGGUUAUUGGUGGACUAACUACAGACCAUGGUUUAUUGGUGGACUAACUACAGACCAUGGGUUAUUGGUGGACUAACUACAGACCAUGGGAAAACAGAAAGGAAAAUGCCACACUGCUGCUCAUGCUCCCAGCUGAUAUUUAUUUAUAACGUUUCCACCCUUAGGUCUUCAUCAGGUAUCCAGGACCUAAUGGUGGAAACAUUGUUAUGAAUAGAUAUCUGGGAGCACAAGCAGCAGUGUGGCGUUUUCCUUUCUGUUUUCCAUGAGUUUACCUAGAACUCCAGCACCUGUGGAAAGUACCUGGAUGUGUGUAUGUUCUUCAGCUUUUGUUAAUGGAGAGGAGACCAUGGGUGGGGAACAGACAACAUGGCUGCCGUGCUGUGGCAGUGAGAGAGACUGGGUUAGGGCGUGCUGUGGCAGUGAGAGAGACUGGGUUAGGGCGUGCUGUGGCAGUGAGUCUAGGUUAGGGCGUGCUGUGGCAGUGAGAGAGACUGGGUUAAGGUUAGGGCGUGCUGUGGCAGUGAGACACAGGGAGGGGGUUCAUGGACUCUUUAAGAACCAGAACUGACCUGUCCUGAUGGAGGGGCAGGACAUGCACUUCAACAGCCAAUUCGCUCCACCCGUCUCUGAUAGAAGUGACUCUGAGACUGACGAUUGUGUCUAGAAGUCCUUUGGUAUAUUCUACCAGACAUGAUUGGUCUAACGUCCUUUGGGAUAUUCUACCAGACAUGAUUGGUCUAGAAGUCUUUGGGAUAUUCUACCAGACAUGAUUGGUCUAGAAGUCUUUGGGAUAUUCUACCAGACAUGAUUGGUCUAGAAGUCCUUUGGGAUAAUCGACCAGACAUGAUUGGUCUAGAAGUCUUUGGGAUAUUCUACCAGACAUGAUUGGUCUAGAAGUCCUUUGGGAUAAUCGACCAGACAUGAUUGGUCUAGAAGUCUUUGGGAUAUUCUACCAGACAUGAUUGGUCUAGAAUCCUUUGGGAUAUUCUACCAGACAUGAUUGGUCUAAAGUCCUUUGGGAUAUUCUACCAGACAUGAUUGGUCUAGAAGUCUUUGGGAUAUUCUACCAGACAUGAUUGGUCUAGAAGUCUUUGGGAUAUUCUACCAGACAUGAUUGGUCUAGAAGUCUUUGGGAUAUUCUACCAGACAUGAUUGGUCUAGAAGUCCUUUGGGAUAAUCGACCAGACAUGAUUGGUCUAGAAGUCUUUGGGAUAUUCUACCAGACAUGAUUGGUCUAGAAGUCCUUUGGGAUAAUCUACCAGACAUGAUUGGUCUAGAAGUCUUUGGGAUAUUCUACCAGACAUGAUUGGUCUAGAAGUCUUUGGGAUAUUCUACCAGACAUGAUUGGUCUAGAAGUCUUUGGGAUAUUCUACCAGACAUGAUUGGUCUAGAAGUCCUUUGGGAUAAUCGACCAGACAUGAUUGGUCUAGAAGUCUUUGGGAUAUUCUACCAGACAUGAUUGGUCUAGAAAUCCUUGGGAUAUUCUAUCAGACAUAUAGUGACAGAUCUAAACUCUGAUAAGUUGUGGUAUGGAACUGUAUCAGCACUCAGAAAUCAGUUUUACACAGAAACAUCUUACCUGCCAUGGAAUCAUUCACCAAUCAGUAUGUUUUGACAGAAGGCCGUGCCAGAUGCAGUAUAACUCUGAUCUUAGAUCCAAAUAGACACACUGUAUACAGCGCCUUCAGAAAGUCUUCACACCCCUGGACUUUUUACACAUGUUGUGUUACAGCCUGGAUUUAAAAUGGAUUCAAUGUCACUGGCCUACACACAAUAAUACCCCAUAAUGUCAAGGUGAAUUUAUGUUUGUAGAAUUUUUUAUGAGAAGCUGAAAUGUCUUGAGUCAGUAAGUAUUCAACCCCUUUAUUAUGGCCAGCCUAAAUAAGUUCAGGAAUAAAAAUGUGCUUACCAAGUUGCAUGGACUCAGUCUGUGUGCAAUAAUACUGUUUAGCAUGUUUCUUGAAUGACUACCUUAUCUCUGUACCCCACACAUACAGAUAAUUGUAAGGUCCCUCAGUCGAGCAGUGAAUUUCAAACACAGAUACAACCACAAAGACCAGAGAGGUUUUCCAAUGCCUUGCAAAGAAGGGCACCUAUUGGUAGAUGGGUAAAAUAAAAAAGCAGACAUUGAUUAUCUCUUUGAGCAGGGUGAAGUUUUUAAUUACACUUUGGAUAGCAUAUCAAUAUACCAAGUCACUACAAAGAUGCAGGUGUCCUUCCUAACUCAGUUGCAGGAGAGGAAGGAAAUCGCUCAGGGAUUUCACCAUGUGGCCAAUGGUGACUUUAAAACAGUUAGAGUUUAAUGGCUGUGAUAGAAAACUGAGGAUGGAUCAACAACAUUGUAGUUACUCCACAAUACUAACUUGAAUGACAGAGUGAAAAGAAGGACGCCUCUACAGAAUACAAAUAUUCUAAAACAUGCAUCCUUUUGUAAGGCACUAAAGUAAUACUACAAAAAAUAUGUCAAAGAAAUUAACACUUUGUAUUCAGGACAUAAAGUUAUGUUUGGGGCACAUCCAAUACAACACAUCACUGAGUACCACUCUCCAUAUUUUCAAGCAUGGUGGUGACUGCAUCAUGUUAUGGGUGUGCUUUUCAUCAUUAAGGACUGGGGAGGUUUUCAGGAUAAAAAAGAACUGAAUGGAGCUAAGCACAGACAAAAUCCUAGAGGAAGACCUGGUUCAGUCUGCUUUCCAACAGACACUGGGAGAUGAAUUCACCUUUCAGCAGGACAAAAACUUAAAAUACAAGGCCAAAUAUACACGGAACAAAAAUAUAAACGCAACAUGCUACAAUUUCAAAGAUUCUACUGAGUUACAGGUCAUAAGGAAAUCAGUCAAUUGAAAUAAAUUCAUUAGACCCUAAUCUAUGGAUUUCACAUAACUUGAAAUACAGAUAUGCAUCUGUUGGCCACAGAUACCUUAACAAAAAGGUAUGUGCAUGGAUCAGAAAACCAGUCAGUAUCUUUUUUUACCCUUAUUUAACUAGGCAAGUCAGUUAAGGGCAAAUUCUUAUUUUCAAUGACGGCCUAGGAACAGUGGGUUAACUGCCUGUUCAUGGGCAGAACGACAGAUUUGUACCUUGUCAGCUCGGCGAUUUGAACUUGCAACCUUUCGGUAACUAGUCCAACACUCUAACCACUGGGCUACCCUGCCGCCCAUUUGGUGUCACCCCCAUUUGCCUCAAGCACCGCAACACAUCUCCAUCGCAUAGAGUUGAUAAGGCUGUUAAUUGUGACCUGUGGAAUGUUGUGCCACUCCUCUUCAAUGGCUGUGUGCAGUUGCUGGAUAUUGGCAGGAACUGGAACACACUGUCAUACACGUUGAUACAGAGCAUCCCAAACAUGCUCAAUUAAUGACAUGUCUGGUGAGUAUGCAGGCCAUGGAAGAACUGGGACAUUUUCAGCUUCCAGGAAUUGUGUUCAGAUCCAUGUGACAUGGGCCCGUGCAUUAUCAUACUGAAACAUGAGGUGAUGGCGGUGGAUGAAUGGAUGAGUGGACAAUGGGCCUCAGGAUCUCAUCACGGUAUCUCUGCAUUCAAAUUGCCAUCGAUAAAAUGCAGUUGUGUUCAUUAUCCAUAGUUUAUGCCUGCCCAUACCAUAACCCCGCCGCCACCAUGGGGUACUCUGUUCAUCAGCAAACCUCUCGUACACUCGACGCCAUACACACUGUCUGCCAUCUGCCCGGGACAGUUGAAACUGGGAUUAAUCCAUGAAGAGCACACUUUUCCAGCGUGCCAGUGACAAUUGAAGGUGAGCAUUUUCCCACUGAAGAUGGUUAUGACGCCGAACACGCAGAUGAGCUUCCCUGAGACAGUUUUUGACAGUUUGUGCAGAAAUUCUUUGGUUGUGCAAACCCACAGUUUCAUCAGCUGUCCAGCUGGCUGGUCUCAGACAAUCCCGCUGGUGAAGAAGCUGGUUAUGGAGGUCCUGGGCUACAGUGGUUACACGUAGUCUGCGGUUCUGAGGCUGGUUGGACGUACUGCCAAAUUCUCUAAAACUACGUCGAAGGCAGCUUAUGGUAGAAAUUAACAUUAAAUUAUCAGGCAACAGCUCUGGCGGACAUUCUUGCCGUCAGCAUGCCAAUCGCACGCUCCCUUAAAACUUGAGACUUCUUGGCAUUGUGCUGUGUGACAAAACUGCACAUUUGUGUGGCCUUUUAUUGUCCCCAGCACAAGGGGUACCUGUGUAAUGGUCAUGCUGUUUAAUCAGCUUCUUGAUUUGCCACACCUGUCAGGUGGAUGGAUUAUCUUGGCAAAGGAUAAAUGCUCACUAAUGGAUGUCAACAAAUUAGUGCACAACAUUUGAGUGAAAUAAGCUUUUUGUGUGUAUGAAACAUUUCUGGGAUCUUUUAUUUCAGCUCAUUAAACAUGGGUUCAACACUUAUCUAUUUUUGUUCAGUAUACAUUUGAGUGCUUACCAAGAUGACAUUGAAUGUUCCGGUGUGGCCUAGUUACAGUUUUUACUUAAAACUACUUGAAAAUCUAUGGCAAGACCUUAAAAUGGCAGUCUAGCAAUGAUCAACAACCAACUUGACAGAGCUUGAAGAAUUAAAAAGCUCUUAGAGAUUUACCCAGAAAGACACAGGUGUAAUCGUUGCCAAAGGUGAUUCUAACAUGUAUUGACUCAGGGGGUUGAAUACUUAUCUAAUCACAAUAUAUUAGUAUUUUGUGUAGAUCAUUGACAAAAAAAUGACAAUUAAAUCCAUUUGAAUCCCACUUUGUAAAACAACCAAAUCUGGAAAGAGUCGAGAGGUACUUUCUAUUAGACAUUGAUACAUAUAACAGGUUUGAAUGAUCUUCACAACAUGCCUGAUCUGCAGCAUGGAGGAGCACAGGAACAGUCUUCUAUGAGCUGAUCUGGAGUAAGGUCUAUACUUCCCAAAGUGACUGCUGUCUGCUGUUUCUGCUGGCUAAUACUACAACAUGUUGCUGAUGUGUAACCACUUACAGUACUGUCUCCUUACUCUACAAACAAACCUUUUUCCCCCACCUUGUUUCACUUGGUUUAGCUUGACAUUCAGACCAGAUCUGGACCGGGCUACCUGAGACGGUACGACCAGAUCUGGACCGGGCUACCUGAGACGGUACGACCAGAUCUGGACCGGGCUACCUGAGAC
ensembl:lncRNA